AUGAUCUCAAUAUUCUGCUCUGUCUGCACUCUUCUGACCUGUGUCAGUGGAGUGACUGUAGUGACUCAGAGUCCAGUAAUCACAGUCAGUAAAGGACAAACCGCUCAACUGGACUGUAAUCUGGGCACUGUGACGAAUUAUGCUGCAUGGUACAAACAGACUCCAGCAGAAGUUCCUCAGUAUGUGUUAUACAAUUAUCAUGGCUGGAGUUCACCUGAAUAUGGAUCUGGUUUCUCUGCUCCUAAGUUCACAUCAACAUGUUCAUCUAAAUCAGAUUGUAGUCUGAUCAUCAGUAAUGUGGAUGUGAGUGAUUCUGCAGUGUAUUACUGUCAGACAUGGGACAGCUCUGUUAGAACUAAACUCAUUGUGACGGACGCUGCUGCUGCUCCUCCUGUGCUCACCAUCCUCCGUCCAUCAUCCAGAGAAGAGCUGAGCUCCAGUAAAGUCACUCUGCUGUGUCUGAUCAAUCACAUGUCUGUGGCUUUCGCUGAUGUGCGUUGGCUUGUGAACGGGAACUCGGUUACCGAAGGCGUCUUCACCGGCUCUGCUGAACAGCAGCCUGAUCACAAAUUCAAGAGCAGCAGUUCUUUAACCAUCCAGAGGUCCGAGUGGGACAAAGACAGAGAGCUGACAUGUGAAGCCACUGUGGCCUCCAAAACCAGCAGAGCAAGCAUCAGGAAAUCUGAAUGCAGCGACUGA
rnacentral:lncRNA from 1 species